CCUACGGGUGGCAGCAGUGAGGAAUAUUGGUCAAUGGACGCAAGCCUGAACCAGCCAUGCCGCGUGCAGGAAGACGGCUCUAUGAGUUGUAAACUUCUUUUGUACGGGGACAAACGCAGAUACGUGUAUCUGUCUGAAAGUAUCCUACGAAUAAGCAUCGGCUAACUCCGUGCCAGCAGCCGCGGUAAUACGGAGGAUUCAAGCGUUAUCCGGAUUUAUUGGGUUUAAAGGGUGCGUAGGCGGUCGGAUAAGUCAGAGGUGAAAUCCCGGGGCUCAACCUCGGCAUUGCCUUUGAAACUGUUCGGCUAGAGAGUAGGUGCGGUAGGCGGAAUGUAUGGUGUAGCGGUGAAAUGCAUAGAGAUCAUACAGAACACCGAUUGCGAAGGCAGCUUACCAG
rnacentral:rRNA from 1 species